CCUACGGGUGGCAGCAGUCGAGAAUCAUUCACAAUGGGGGAAACCCUGAUGGUGCGACGCCGCGUGUGUGAAUGAAGGUCUUCGGAUUGUAAACCCCUGUCAUGUGGGGGCAAAUUAAAAAGAUAGUACCACAAGAGGAAGAGACGGCUAACUCUGUGCCAGCAGCCGCGGUAAUACAGAGGUCUCAAGCGUUGAUCGGAAUCACUGGACGUAAAGCGUGCGUAGGCGGUUUCGUAAGUCGUGUGUGAAAGGCGCGGGCAUAACCCGCGGACGGCACAUGAUACUGGGAGUCUAGAGUAAUGGAAGGGGAACCAGAAUUCUCGGUGUAGCAGUGAAAUGCGUAGAGAUGGAGAGGAACACUCGUGGCGAAGGCGGGCUCCUGGACAUAAACUGACGCUGAGGCACGAAGGCCAGGGGAGCGAAAGGGAUUAGAUACCCGAGUAGUC
rnacentral:rRNA from 1 species